rnacentral:rRNA from 1 species
UAGGGGGCCAGCGUUGUUCGGAAUUACUGGGCGUAAAGGGUUCGUAGGCGGUGCGGCAAGUUGGGUGUGAAAUCUCUGGGCUUAACCCAGAGGCUGCUUCCAAAACUGCUGUGCUUGAGUGUGGGAGAGGCGCGUGGAAUUGCAGGUGUAGCGGUGAAAUGCGUAGAUAUCUGCAGGAACACCCGUGGCGAAAGCGGCGCGCUGGACCACUACUGACGCUGAGGAACGAAAGCUAGGGGAGCAAACAGG